rnacentral:rRNA from 1 species
UACGUAGGGUGCAAGCGUUGUCCGGAAUUACUGGGUUUAAAGGGUGCGUAGGUGGGUCUGUAAGUCAGUGGUGAAAUCUCCGAGCUUAACUCGGAAACUGCCAUUGAUACUAUAGAUCUUGAAUUAUCUGGAGGUAAGCGGAAUAUGUCAUGUAGCGGUGAAAUGCUUAGAUAUGACAUAGAACACCAAUUGCGAAGGCAGCUUACUACGGAUCGAUUGACACUGAGGCACGAAAGCGUGGGGAGCAAACAGG